rnacentral:misc_RNA from 1 species
UCUCCGUAGGUGAACCUGCGGAGGGAUCAUUACAGGGUUCAUGCCCUACCGGGUAGAUCUCCCACCCUAUGUUAUUAUUACUUUGUUGCUUUGGCGGGCCGUUAGGCUCCGGCCCGACUACCGGCCCCGGCUGGUAAGCGCCCGCCAGAGGACCCAAAACCCUGAAUAUUAGUGUCGUCUGAGUACUAUAUAAUAGUUAAAACCUUCAACAACGGAUCUCUUGGUUCUG